rnacentral:tRNA from 1 species
AAGUCCGGCAGUGAUUUCACGUCGAAUUGCAAAUUCGAAGAAGCCGUUUUAUUUCGGCCCGGACU